UUUAAAAAAAAAAAAAAAAUCUCAGAGCAAAAGUUUCUAUUGAUUAAAAAAUUAAGAAGUGAAAAUAUCAAGCUAUUAUAUUGAUUUCUUUUAGAAUUUUGUCCAAGUGGAAUUGCAAUUUUAUUGAUUAAAGAAAAAUUUAAAACAUUACAAGAUCCUUUUUUUUUUAGUAUAUAAAAGAUAAAAAUCCAUCAAAUGGCAUAAAGAAAAAGAAAUUCAGC
rnacentral:misc_RNA from 1 species